AUACGGAGGAUGCAAGCGUUAUCCGGAUUUAUUGGGUUUAAAGGGUGCGUAGGCGGUUUGCUAAGCGGGAGGUGAAAUGCCGGCGCUCAACGUCGGAAGUGCCUCCCGAACUGGUGGACUGGAAUGACUCUGCCGUGGGAGGAAUGUGUAGUGUAGCGGUGAAAUGCUUAGAGAUUACACAGAACUCCGAUUGCGAAGGCAUCUCACGAAGGGUUGAUUGACGCUGAGGCACGAAAGCGUGGGGAUCAAACAGGAUUAGAUACCCUGGUAGUCCACGCAGUAAACGAUGAUGGCUAACCGCUGGUUUUUUCGGAUCAGUGGCCAAGCGAAAGCGAUAAGCCAUCCACCUGGGGAGUACGACCGCAAGGUUGAAACUCAAAGGAAUUGGCGGGG
rnacentral:rRNA from 1 species